rnacentral:rRNA from 1 species
AGUGAACGCUGGCGGUAGGCCUAACACAUGCAAGUCGAACGGCAGCACAGUAAGAGCUUGCUCUUACGGGUGGCGAGUGGCGGACGGGUGAGGAAUACAUCGGAAUCUACUUUUUCGUGGGGGAUAACGUAGGGAAACUUACGCUAAUACCGCAUACGACCUACGGGUGAAAGCAGGGGAUCUUAGGACCUUGCGCGAUUGAAUGAGCCGAUGUCGGAUUAGCUAGUUGGCGGGGUAAAGGCCCACCAAGGCGACGAUCCGUAGCUGGUCUGAGAGGAUGAUCAGCCACACUGGAACUGAGACACGGUCCAGACUCCUACGGGAGGCAGCAGUGGGGAAUAUUGGACAAUGGGCGCAAGCCUGAUCCAGCCAUACCGCGUGGGUGAAGAAGGCCUUCGGGUUGUAAAGCCCUUUUGUUUGGAAAGAAAAGCAGCAGGUUAAUACCCCGCUGUUCUGACGGUACCAAAAGAAUAAGCACCGGCUAACUUCGUG